UUGACCUCAAAUCAGGUAGGACUACCCGCUGAACUUAAGCAUAUCAAUAAGCGGAGGAAAAGAAACUAACAAGGAUUCCCCUAGUAACUGCGAGUGAAGCGGGAAAAGCUCAAAUUUGAAAUCUGGCAGUCUUUUUUUUC
rnacentral:rRNA from 1 species